CAGAUCGGCUCUGAGUUUCAUUAAGCAGACUUAGUGUAGCGACAAUUUCAUCAGUAUAAAUAGCUUUGUUGAAUUAAAUACUACUAUGUCAGACAAAAUAAUAAAAUAACAAAGAUAUUUAAAAGAUGUCAGGUGUAUGUACAAAGGCAUGAUACAAAGAUUUCUUUAUUGCAAAUUUCUUAAUCGUUCAUUAAAUGAAGAUCUUAAGUAGCAAUGUAAAAAAUUUAUGCAUGUACCUAAAAAAUGCUUGCAAUAAAAAUGAUCUUAGUCCUAUCAUAUUGUAAAUA